UGCAAACCUGCCAAAGCAGAACGACCAGAGAA
rnacentral:rRNA from 1 species